rnacentral:rRNA from 1 species
UCGAGGAUCUUCGGCAAUGGGCGCAAGCCUGACCGAGCGACGCCGCGUGGACGAUGAAGGCCUUCGGGUUGUAAAGUCCUGUCGAGGGGGAUAAAAGCGCAAGCUUGAUUGAUCCCUGGAGGAAGCACGGGCUAAGUUCGUGCCAGCAGCCGCGGUAAGACGAACCGUGCGAACGUUGUUCGGAAUCACUGGGCUUAAAGGGCGCGUAGGCGGCUUGCCAAGUCAGGGGUGAAAUCUUUCGGCUUAACCGGAAAAGUGCCUUUGAUACUGGCAGGCUCGAGGGAGGUAGGGGUAUGUGGAACUUCCGGUGGAGCGGUGAAAUGCGUUGAUAUCGGAAGGAACGCCGGUGGCGAAAGCGACGUACUGGACCUCUUCUGACGCUGAGGCGCGAAAGCUAGGGGAGCAAACGGGAUUAGAUACCCCCGUAGUCC